CCUACGGGAGGCAGCAGUGAGGAAUAUUGGUCAAUGGCCGGAAGGCUGAACCAGCCAUGCCGCGUGAAGGUCAGUGCCCUAUGGGCGUUAAACUUCUUUUGUGCGGGAGCAAUAAUGGUCACGUGUGGCCAGACGAGAGUACCGUACGAAUAAGCAUCGGCUAACUCCGUGCCAGCAGCCGCGGUAAUACGUGGGAUGCAAGCGUUAUCCGGAUUUAUUGGGUUUAAAGGGUGCGUAGGCUGUGAGGUAAGUCAGCGGGGAAAUGCCCCCGCUCAACGGGGUGAAGUGCCAUGGAUACUGCCUUGCUGGAAUGCGGAUGCCGUGGGAGGAAUGUGUGGUGUAGCGGUGAAAUGCAUAGAGAUCACACAGAACACCGAUUGCGAAGGCAUCUCACGAAUCCGCGAUUGACGCUGAUGCACGAAAGCGUGGGUAUCAAACAGGAUUAGAUACCCUAGUAGUC
rnacentral:rRNA from 1 species